rnacentral:tRNA from 1 species
GGGCGAUUAGUUCAGCUUGGAUAGAACGCGGCCCUGCGGAGGCCGAAACCGGGGUUCAAAUCCUCGGUCGCCCG